rnacentral:rRNA from 1 species
UCCCAGACUCCUACGGGAGGCAGCAGUGAGGAAUAUUGGUCAAUGGACGAGAGUCUGAACCAGCCAAGUAGCGUGAAGGAUGACUGCCCUAUGGGUUGUAAACUUCUUUUAUAUGGGAAUAAAACGUUCCACGUGUGGGAUUUUGUAUGUACCAUAUGAAUAAGCAUCGGCUAACUCCGUGCCAGCAGCCGCGGUAAUACGGAGGAUGCGAGCGUUAUCCGGAUUUAUUGGGUUUAAAGGGUGCGUAGGCGGGAUUUAAAUGAGGGGAUAAAAGCCGGGGUCUCACCCCGGGCGAGCCGUUGAAACUGGCUGUCUUGAGAUGUCGAGAGGUAUGCGGAAUGCGCAGUGUAGCGGUGAAAUGCUUAGAUAUUGCGCAGAACUCCGAUUGCGAAGGCAGCAUACCGGCGGCGAUCUGACGCUGAGGCACGAAAGCGUGGGUAUCGAACAGGAUUAGAUACCCUUGUA